rnacentral:sRNA from 1 species
AAACGCUAUCUAAUGUCUCAGGCUGCAAAUACCAUUACGCCGUUGCAAUAUGCUGUAGAUCUGAAAAUGGAAACGGAUAGCGAGCAAUCGACACUGAUCGCGUGGAAAAAAUACAUGGUGUUAUUGAACCGUGUAGACUGUUCGAC